rnacentral:rRNA from 1 species
UGGGGAAUAUUGGACAAUGGGCGAAAGCCUGAUCCAGCCAUGCCGCGUGUGUGAAGAAGGUCUUCGGAUUGUAAAGCACUUUAAGUUGGGAGGAAGGGCAGUAAGCGAAUACCUUGCUGUUUUGACGUUACCGACAGAAUAAGCACCGGCUAACUCUGUGCCAGCAGCCGCGGUAAUACAGAGGGUGCAAGCGUUAAUCGGAAUUACUGGGCGUAAAGCGCGCGUAGGUGGUUCGUUAAGUUGAAUGUGAAAGCCCCGGGCUCAACCUGGGAACUGCAUCCAAAACUGGCGGGCUGGAGUAGGGCAGAGGGUGGUGGAAUUUCCUGUGUAGCGGAGAAAUGCGUAGAUAUAGGAAGGAACACCAGUGGCGAAGGCGACCACCUGGGCUCAUACUGACACUGAGGUGCGAAAGCGUGGGGAGCAAACAGG